CCUACGGGCGGCAGCAGUGAGGAAUAUUGGUCAAUGGGCGGAAGCCUGAACCAGCCAAGUCGCGUGAGGGAUUAAGGCCCUGCGGGUCGUAAACCUCUUUUGCCGGGGAGCAGAGGUCCGGACGUGUCCGGGCCGGGAGAGUACCCGGAGAAAAAGCAUCGGCUAACUCCGUGCAAGCAGCCGCGGUAAUAAGGAGGAUGGGAGCGUUAUCCGGAUUUUUUGGGUGUAAGGGGGGCGUAGGCGGGCCUUUAAGCCGGCGGUGAAAGGUCGGGGCUAAACCCCGACCUGCCGUCGGAACUGGGUGCCUUGAGUGGGCGAGAAGUAUGCGGAAUGCGUGGUGUAGCGGUGAAAUGCAUAGAUAUCACGCAGAACCCCGAUUGCGAAGGCAGCAUACCGGCGCCCUACUGACGCUGAGGCACGAAAGUGCGGGUAUCGAACAGGAUUAGAUACCCUUGUAGUC
rnacentral:rRNA from 1 species